CCUACGGGCGGCAGCAGUAGGGAAUAUUGCACAAUGGGCGAAAGCCUGAUGCAGCAACGCCGCGUGCGCGACGAAGGCCUUCGGGUCGUAAAGCGCUUUUCGGGGAGAUGAGGAAGGACAGUAUCCCCGGAAUAAGGCUCGGCUAACUACGUGCCAGCAGCCGCGGUAAAACGUAGGAGCCAAGCGUUAUCCGAAUUCACUGGGCGUAAAGCGUGUGCAGGCGGACGGAUAAGUUUGAUGUGAAAUCUCCUGGCUCAACUGGGAGAGGCCGUUGAAUACUGUCAGUCUCGAGGGCAACAGAGGGAGGUGGAAUUCCCGGUGUAGUGGUGAAAUGCGUAGAUAUCGGGAGGAACACCAGUGGCGAAAGCGGCCUCCUGGGUUGCACCUGACGCUCAGACACGAAAGCUAGGGGAGCGAACGGGAUUAGAUACCCCGGUAGUC
rnacentral:rRNA from 1 species